rnacentral:rRNA from 1 species
GACGAACGCUGGCGGCGUGCUUAACACAUGCAAGUCGAACGAUGAAGCUGGAGCUUGCUCCGGUGGAUUAGUGGCAAACGGGUGAGUAACACGUGAGAAAUCUGCCCUUGACUCUGGGAUAACUGCGGGAAACUGUAGCUAAUACCGGAUACUUUCCUCGGUGGGCAUCCACUGGGGAAGAAAGAAUUUCGGUCAAGGAUGAUCUCGCGGCCUAUCAGCUAGUUGGUGAGGUAAUGGCUCACCAAGGCGACGACGGGUAGCCGGCCUGAGAGGGUGACCGGCCACACUAGGACUGGGACAGGGCCCAGCCUCCUACGGGAGGCAGCAGUGGGGAAUAUUGCACAAUGGGCGCAAGCCUGAUGCAGCAACGCCGCGUGAGGGAUGAAGGCCUUCGGGUUGUAAACCUCUUUUAGCAGGGAAGAAGCGAAAGUGACGGUACCUGCAGAAAAAGCACCGGCUAACUACGUGCCAGCCGCCGCGGUAA